rnacentral:ncRNA from 2 species
CCCGUCGAGGGGCGCUGCGACCACAGGCAGGCGGAAUACCGCCAUUCCGUCCGGUUAUCCGAACCGGGAAGCACCGGUGGCCAGGCUCGACGCGGCAGGUUCGAAAACGGCGCCCGGUUGCU